rnacentral:ncRNA from 1 species
UUCUUAUCUAGAGAGGUGGAGGGACUGGCCCUACGAAACCUCGGCAGCGGAACUGAUUCGUCGAAACAAUCAGAAACUGUGCCAACUCCAGCAUGUGCGUCUGCACGUGAAAGAUGAGAA